rnacentral:sRNA from 1 species
CCUUAUGAAAAAUCUUAGAAAUAUGCGGUUGGCUUUUGAAGGGUUCGUUACUAAAGAUUCCUGCAGUGUAUUUUUUGUUCAGAUACUGUAGGAAUCUGAACGGUCCAACUGAACUUGACAAACCCGGAGUUAGCCAACAGCAAAAAACUAGACAGAGAUUAUUGUUUGGGUGGUAUUAUGGCUUUAUGGUUCAGUAGAUCCAUCAAAAGAGGCCUCAAUUGUACAGUUUUUCCACUCUUAACAGAUGAAUGUGCUCCGUAUCAUCCCCUUACUGUGACGGCUUGCUUGCUCAGUAGCCAUUUUGUGUGGUGGAGGGGUUAGGAUUCGACGAGCGUAAACCAUUCUCUGCAUAUGUGAUGUUAUUUUGGAGAUAUCGACGAUAAUGUGUAUACUUCAUGCGUACUUUCACUUGACAAUUACUACAUGUAUCCCUAUCAAGCUCCUUUGAUGGUAUUUUUGGAUUUGCUAUCCAAUUUUUGUGGAUGCAAACAUGUAAUUGACUGCAACUUCUAGAGUAAAUAUUUCUGUAUCAAAAGCUUGAUUAGAUUUUCAACUAG